UUAAUUGAAGCCAAAAUAGAGGCACUUUAUUGUUAAUAAAAAGAAUGAUUUUAUAAAUCCAAUUAAA
rnacentral:tRNA from 1 species